rnacentral:rRNA from 1 species
GACGAACGCUGGCGGCGUGCUUAACACAUGCAAGUCGAACGGAAAGACCCUGCUUUUGUGGGGUGCUCGAGUGGCGAACGGGUGAGUAACACGUGAGUAACCUGCCCUUGACUUUGGGAUAACUUCAGGAAACUGGGGCUAAUACCGGAUAGGAGCUCCUGCUGCAUGGUGGGGGUUGGAAAGUUUCGGCGGUUGGGGAUGGACUCGCGGCUUAUCAGCUCGUUGGUGGGGUAGUGGCUUACCAAGGCUUUGACGGGUAGCCGGCCUGAGAGGGUGACCGGCCACAUUGGGACUGAGAUACGGCCCAGACUCCUACGGGAGGCAGCGGUGGGGAAUAUUGCACAAUGGGCGGAAGCCUGAUGCAGCAACGCCGCGUGCGGGAUGACGGCCUUCGGGUUGUAAACCGCCUUCGCCUGUGACGAAGCGUGAGUGACGGUAAUGGGUAAAGAAGCACCGGCUAACUACGUG